GACGAACGCUGGCGGCGUGCUUAACACAUGCAAGUCGAACGGAAAGGCCCUGCUUUUGUGGGGUGCUCGAGUGGCGAACGGGUGAGUAACACGUGAGUAACCUGCCCUUGACUUUGGGAUAACUUCAGGAAACUGGGGCUAAUACCGGGUAGGAGCUCCUGCUGCAUGGUGGGGGUUGGAAAGUUUCGGCGGUUGGAGAUGGACUCGCGGCUUAUCAGCUUGUUGGUGGGGUAGUGGCUUACCAAGGCUUUGACGGGUAGCCGGCCUGAGAGGGUGACCGGCCACAUUGGGACUGAGAUACGGCCCAGACUCCUACGGGAGGCAGCAGUGGGGAAUAUUGCACAAUGGGCGGAAGCCUGAUGCAGCAACGCCGCGUGCGGGAUGACGGCCUUCGGGUUGUAAACCGCUUUCGCCUGUGACGAAGCGUGAGUGACGGUAAUGGGUAAAGAAGCACCGGCUAACUACGUG
rnacentral:rRNA from 1 species